rnacentral:tRNA from 1 species
UCCCUGGUAGUUAAACUGGUAAAGAAUCUGCCUGCAAUGCAGGAGACCUGGGUUUGAUUCCUGGGUAGGGAA